UUUUUUUUUCUUUGUAAUAACCAAAUUCAAAUCAAGGUCGGUAUUAAAUCGUAUAACUGAAAGAAAAAACUGAAACCCAGGCAUCCAGUACGAGGCUCCCUCAUGCGUGUCACCCAACACAAAAGGCUUAAUCGUGCGUGCGUGUCCGACCAUGCAGGAUAGGAAGGGCCAAGUGCAUGCUUUGUUCACCAUGUGAGAGCUAAACCAGCAUAAGCUAUUGCGAGGUUUCGUUGUCCACCUAGUUGCAAGGCCCAAGGGCAACUACUAGUACUUCUAUGGGCAGGCAGAGCAUGCAGCGGCAAAUGUCCUAUUUGUUUAGUACCACAUCGCGUAGGUAUCCUCAGAGGAUAAAGGUGGUCAUGGAUAUUAGAGAACGGCACGAGGGAAACGCUAGUAGUUGUGUCAUAGCUUGUACGUGUGCUCUACAAAAAGAUUUUCAUUAUAAACCGAAAACCAAACGAAAUCAGUUGGUUAAAGAAAUAUCGAUUUGUUGUAUUGGGUUGACAUUUUCGUGUUUUAGGUUUGCUAACCAAAAUAAAAAACAAAUGGUAAAAAUUUCAAUUUCAAUUUCUACCACACUACCACCCUGAUGGGUGAUCUCAUCACUUCGGUCAGGCACCUAUUGGGUCGGCCCAAGCGUUCGUAGAUUUGAAAUAAGUUCAUCGAUGCUGAAAAAAUAUUCAUGUUGAAAGUUUUCCAAAAAUGUCCACCAAAAAAGUUGAAAAAUAAGCUCGAGAAAUUGAAAAGGAUUGAAAAUUAGGUUCACACAUUUGAAAUAACAGGAAAAAAUAAAAGGGAAACAAAGGAAUAAACUAAAAAAGGAAACAAACCAGAAUAAAGCCCGGUUUUAAAAAACAUGAAAAACGGCCUAAAACUUCACAAAGUUACAUUUGCCACAGAAUAAGCCAGAAAGAAAGCAAGUGUUCAAGUUGUGUUUUGUUCAGAAUGUUACUUCUUAAGUUAGCACGCUCCUCAUAUCUCCUUAAAAUUAUUGAAAAUGUUGUUCAAAAGAAUAUUCUUAACAUUUUGAACUGACAUAUCUCUUUAUUUUUUUGGAAUGUUCAUGCUUUUCAAAAAUGUUGCUCAAAUUUUUCAAAAUAUGUCAUGCUUCUAAAACAAUGAAAAUUUUGAAAACUGUUGGAUUUUAAAACAUUAUUUGAUUCGUAAAAAUUUAUUCAGAUUUUCGAACAAAUGUUUGAAUUUUUUGAAAAGGUACCCGAAUUCUUCAUUAGUGUUAGUUCUUGUGUAUGCACGCUCCUUGUUUUGCACAAACAUUAAUCAGCUUAACUGGUAUGCCACUCACGGUUGUUGCAUGUUGCAAGAGAUAUGUGGUUAGAUUCCUAGCUGGUUCAUUUCUUUUGUGAUUUUUUAUACGAACAGGCGCGCUCCCUGCUGUUAGUGUUUAAACUUUCACGGUCAUUAGUUAAUACAGUCAUCAGCUGGGUAAACUGGUGAGCCACUCACGCUUCCAGCAAGAGGUCUGCGGCUCGAAUCCUGGUAGCUACAAUUGUUUUGGGUUUCUUUCAAUUUUUACUUCCAGUGAAGGGGUGCGCUUACUAUAGCCAUCAUCGUUGGCCCCGGCCCAGCCCGACGGGGGUUGGGUGUCGUAUACAUGCUGGCGGAUAAAAAAAGACCAUCAUCAACUGAAAAAGACUAUCAUGCCCUUUAUUAUGAAGGGGUAUAAACAGAUCUCCACCGUCGAUGUGUUUAGGGGGAUAGUACCGAAGAAGAAGUGGUCAUAUAAAUCCUGAAAACAUUUACUAUUGCUGUAAGAUCUUCCGAGGGUUGCCAUCAAUCAAUAGCUCACAACGCCCACUUCAGUAGCCAAUAAAUCCAUACUACAUCAAGCUUCUACACAAAACAAACAAUUAGAUUAGACAUCCACAAAACAUAGAAUGAAACACAAUGUUUCUGUAUCAAAAGUCAACAGUAAGUGAGGCGAUGUUGCCAAAUACCAUAUAUCCGAAGUAACUGAAACUGUGAAAAAAAGAAAUAUAUUCAGAUAACUCUAAUCCAUACAUAAAUUAUCAAUUAAUGCAACACGAGUUCCAAAUCCAAUACUUGGAUCAUCAGUAAUAAUGAAAGUCAGUACAAACAUAUAUGCAUAACAUCCUAGUGUAUGCAACACCUGAAUUAUCAUUGUAAUUUGUAAAAAAUAUUUGUCAAAGAGAAGAACAUAACUGAAUCUGAAUGAGAACAAUCACUGACCUGCAGCAGAUGAGCAUGAUUCUUCAUUGCAGAUGAAUAUUCUGAGGCAUGAAAAAUCAAAAUUACAUGAUUUUCUCCUGCAUAUGAACAUCAGCAACAACGAUUUUGUCCUCAUUGCAACCUCCUCACUCUCUUUCCACGGUGGGACAGGAGAGCACAAGAAAGCAGGAGUGCAGGAAGAGCGGGUGGGAGGCAGGAAGAGGACGUGUGGUGACAGCGAGAAACACAAAAGACACGCGCGCGGGUCGUCUCGUCGAUCAUUGGAACAGGCACCGAGAGAGACUCCCAUCCAUUGACCACACAAGCGGCGGUCCCAGAUCGGCGGCAGGGCAUGGACAUAAUGGCGGCAUCCACCCGGAAGCCGGUACCCCCUCUCGAACGACCACCGUAGCCCUCAUCGCCUCCCCCAAAUCCGUCCUCUUUCUUUCCCUCCUGCAUUCAACCUUGUGUAGGUUGCAUCUUGGCAUGAUAUUCAUUUCAUUUCUUGUGAUACUUGUUUUCUUUCUCAAAGCAUCCCAACGAUGAUCUCUUGUUGCUAGUUGUGAUGCCUUUGAUGGAUGUGUGUUUGGACUUUAUUUAUAAACAAUAAGACCAUAUCUAGCCAAGUGCUAUGCUUUCAAGCAAAUAUCUUAUUGGUAUAUUUAUGACUUCCUUGUGGAUAUCUUGUUCUUUCGUGUUGUAACUAUUUCGGGUGUACAUCCUUCUUUGUAUGUAUAUAUAUAUAUAUAUAUAUAUAUAUAUAUAUAUAUAUAUAUAUAUAUCAUGAUUUCGUCUACAUAGAACCUUAUACACUUGAGAGAAAUUACAUCUCUAGUUGAUAUUCUUUCUUUCACGUCCACCUUGUCUUUCUUAUGUUAUUUCUUUGGUGGCUCCGUGAAAGCUUUUGCCUUGAGUGCGUGUCCUCUAUCGUUGCAUCUUGUUGCACUCUUGUGUGGUGAAGAUUAUUUUCCUCUUGCUUAUCUUUACGAGGUUUUUGCCAUCUUAAUUGGUAUCCCUCGUCUUGAUGAGCCUCCCCUCGUCUACCUUCACCACGGGUUGUCACAAGCAUAGGUUCUCUUUUGCUUAUUAGUAAGCUUGUGAACCCAUUUGACAGUUGUGUGUGGGAAUGAUAGGCCUUGCACCAUGUGCCUCAUUCUUUCAAGAUUAUGUUGAUGCUUAAUGCUCAUCCUAAUUUUAGUCUUCUCAAGUGCUUCACCAUGACUCACACAUCAUUUUGGUUGAGCCUAUUCUUAAGUUGCCUCUUUUACAUGUUGCUCAACCAUGUGCUUGUUGCAAGCGCUAGGCUUUGUUUCCUAUAUGCUCACUUGCACUGGAUGUGAGUUUCUAUUGAUUUUGGGGGAGCUAUGAUCCUAUUUUGUGCACUUUGUAUUCAAAUACAAAAAUUCUUAUGUGUGCACAAAUCAUGGGGAGCUUCUCUAGUUUCUUUAGAACACUCAUUUGCGCUUUUCAUAAUAUCUUUAUUCUUGUGGCAUGUAGGAUCAUUGGUCUAGUUGGUUCAAUUGAUAUCCGUUGAUUGCUUGCUUCAAUUGGUAUCUUCUGAUUGCUUGUGUCUCUCUUUAUUAUGUCUUUGUGACAUAUCUUUCUGUUGCAAUCUUUGGGCAUCAAUAUAGUUUGUCUUCCUCCAAGUAUUGGCAGUUGGAUAUGUGUAUUGCAUUCCACUCUCUUGUUGAGAAAUACACAAUUUAUGGAGGACCACAAUUUAUAUUGGCCUUCUAACCUUUUCGCCCAUUUUGGCAAUCGAUGCCAAUGGGGGAGAAGUUUCAGAGAGUUUUGUGGAGUAGCUUUGGUUUUUAUUUCCUUAGCAUUUGCAUCUCAUUCGCAUGCAUUAUUGGUUGGUGCAUUGCAUGGUGAUGCAUAAUUCCUUGUAUAAACUCUCUUGAAAGUAUUUGUCAUCAAUUACCAAAAUGGGGGAGAUUGAAAGGACAUGCGGUGCCCCCAUGUGUGGUUUUGGCAAUUGAUGACAAUCUCUAUGGACUAAUGGUUGCCUUGAGUUAUAUUUGAAGGGUUUGCCCAUAGGCUUUUCUUGGAGUCCAUUUGUUGGUUUCAAUGAGAGUUUGUGAUGACCAAGGCGCUAUUAAGGAAUUAUCCAAAGAUUGGUCAUAUAAGUGUUGAGCUUAUUGCAAGCAUGUCUUGAAGAAGAAGGUUGUGUGAUCAUUCAUGUUUACCUUCAAGACAUCAUCCAAAUGAAGAGAGUUGCAAAGGUUCAAGGUUGAUCAAGACUAAGUCAAGAGUGAAUCAAGUUGAUCAACUCACAAAGCGUAGAAGAUGUACCGAGAGGGAUCAAGUGAUCCCAUCGUAUGGUAAGCAUGUCCAUUGCACUUUUUGUACUAACCCAUGGUCUAUGUGAGAGUUGUAUGUGGGGUUAGGUACGUAUCCAUGGGCUUGUGUCAAGAGGAAGAUAUCAUACAACCCAUGGAAAGGAUGACAUCAAGUGGUGAUCGUCAUCAAGAUUGCCGUGUGCAAGUUCAAGUGGAGCAUCACGAAGAGAUCAAGUGCUUGAAUCUUGCCAUCCAUUAUGGUGUCAAUGGACUUGUGAAGAUGUGCCAAAGAGUGGCUCACCCAUAGUGAACUAUGGGGGAGCAAUCAUCUAGUCUUCAUCGAGCCAACGCAAUCAAGAAAGGUGGUCCAACUUGAGGGAGUCAAGAUCGUAUUCAUCUAGCUCAAGUGGACCAUGUGCGAGGCAAAGGUUUGCCCUUGAUAGGUUUUCUAUUUUACCGGUCUCGUGGUGGUAGUUGGGAGACCGAGUUAUAGGAUCGUUUGCCGUACUAUCAAGGGGGGCUCUCAAGUUGGUAGCUUGAUCGUAUCGUUAGUAGAGAGCUCAAACCAUUGCAUCCUUGCAUCAUGUUUCUUGGUUCUUGUUUGGUUAUCUUUGUGAGUCUUAGAGAUUAUGGUCAUCUUGAUGACAAGCUUGAGUUCAUCGAAAACGGAGUUCGCAUGCGUCUUCUAUGAUGUUUUCGGUGUUGGAGGUUUUACCGGUCUUAUCCGAUGAAGGGUUAUCACCAUUUUCUUAUGCGAUAGAAAACAAAUGGAUCUUUAAGAAGAAGACGGACGCGGAUGGUAAUAUUACCGUCUAUAAAGCUCGACUUGUCGCUCAGGGUUAUCGACAAGUUCAAGGGGUUGACUACGAUGAGACAUUCUCUCCCGUAGCGAAGCUGAAGUCCGUCCGAAUCAUGUUAGCAAUUGCCGCAUACUAUGAUUAUGAGAUAUGGCAUAUGGACGUCAAAACAGCAUUCCUUAACGGGCAUCUUAAGGAAGAACUGUAUAUGAUGCAGCCAGAGGGUUUUGUCGAUCCUAAGAAUACUAACAAAGUAUGCAAGCUCCAGCGAUCCAUUUAUGGGCUGGUGCAAGCAUCUCGGAGUUGGAACAUUCGCUUUGAUGAGAUGAUCAAAGCAUUUGGGUUUAUGCAGACUUAUGGAGAAGCCUGCGUUUACAAGAAAGUGAGUGGGAGCUCUGUAGCAUUUCUCAUAUUAUAUGUAGAUGACAUAGUUUUGAUGGGAAAUGAUAUAGAACUUUUGGACAGCAUUAAGGCCUACUUGAAUAAGUGUUUUUCAAUGAAGGACCUUGGAGAAGCUGCUUACAUAUUAGGCAUCAAGAUCUAUAGGGAUAGAUCAAGACGCCUCAUAGGUCUUUCACAAAGCACAUACCUUGAUAAGAUUUUGAAGAAGUUCAAAAUGGAUCAGUCCAAGAAGGGGUUCUUGCCUGUAUUGCAAGGUGUGAGAUUGAGCUCAGCUCAAUGCCCGACCACGGCAAAAGAUAAAGAAGAGAUGAGUGUCAUCCCCUAUGCUUCAGCCAUAGGAUCUAUUAUGUAUGCCAUGUUGUGUACCAGACCUGAUGUAAACCUUGCCGUAAGUUUGGUAGGAAGGUACCAAAGUAAUCCCGGCAAGGAACACUAGACAGCGGUCAAGAAUAUCCUGAAGUACCUCAAAAGGAGAAAGGACAUGUUUCUCAUUUAUGGAGGUGACGAAGAGCUCGCCGUAAAGGGUUACGUCGACGCUAGCUUCGACACAGAUCUAGAUGACUCUAAGUCACAAACCGGAUACAUGUAUAUGUUGAAUGGUGGAGCAGUAAGCUGGUGCAGCUGCAAGCAGAGCGUUGUGGCGGGAUCUACAUGUGGAGCGGAGUACAUGGCAGACUCGGAGGCAGCGCAUGAAGCAAUAUGGGUGAAGGAGUUCAUCACCGACCUAGGAGUCAUACCCAAUGCGUCGGGGCCGAUCAAACUCUUCUGUGACAACACUGGAGCUAUUGCCCUUGCCAAGGAGCCCAGGUUUCACAAGAAGACCAGGCACAUCAAGCGUCGUUUCAACUCCAUCCGUGAAAAUGUUCAAGAUGGAGACAUAGAUAUUUGCAAAGUACAUACGGAUCUGAAUGUCGCAGAUCCGUUGACUAAACCUCUCGAGCAAAACAUGAUCAACACCAGAACUCUAUGGGUGUUCGAUUCAUCACAAUGUAACUAGAUUAUUGACUCUAGUGCAAGUGGGAGACUGUUGGAAAUAUGCCCUAGAGGAUAUAAUAAAAGGAUUAUUAUUAUAUUUCCUUGUUUAUGAUAAUUGUCUUUAUUCAUGCUAUAAUUGUAUUAUCCGGAAAUCGUAAUACACGUGUGAAUACAUAGACCAUAAUAUGUCCCUAGUAAGCCUCUAGUUGACUAGCUCGUUGAUCAACAGAUAGUCAUGGUUUCCUGACUAUGGACAUUAGAUGUCGUUGAUAGCGGGAUCACAUCAUUAGGAGAAUGAUGUGAUGGACAAGAUCCAAUCCUAAGCAUAGCACAAGAUCGUGUAGUUCGUUUUGCUAGAGAUUUUCCAAUGUCAAGUAUCUUUUCCUUAGACCAUGAGAUCGUCUAACUCCCGGAUACCGUAGGAGUGCUUUGGGUGUACCAAACGUCACAACGUAACUGGGUGACUAUAAAGGUGCACUACAGGUAUCUCCGAAAGUGUCUGUUGGGUUGACACGGAUCGAGACUGGGAUUUGUCACUCCGUAUUAUAGAGAGGUAUCACUGGGCCCACUCGGUACUGCAUCAUCAUUAUGAGCUCAAAGUGACCAAGUGUCUGGUCACGGGAUCAUGCAUUACGGUACGAGUAAAGUGACUUGCCGGUAACGAGACUGAACGAGGUAUUGGGAUACGGACGAUCGAGUCUCGGACAAGUAACAUACCAUCUGACAAAGGGAAUAGUAUAUGGGGUUGCUUGAAUCCUCGACAUCGUGGUUCAUCCGAUGAGAUCAUCGAGGAGUAUGUGGGAGCCAACAUAGGUAUCCAGAUCCCGCUGUUGGUUAUUGACCGGAGAGCUGUCUCGGUCAUGUCUACAUGUCUCCCGAACCCGUAGGGUCUACACACUUAAGGUUCGGUGACGCUAGGGUUGUAUGAAUAUGAGUAUGUAGCAAACCGAAUGUUGUUCGGAGUCCCGGAUGAGAUCCCGGACGUCACGAGGAGUUUCGGAAUGGUCCGGAGGUAAAGAAUUAUAUAUAGGAAGUGGUGUUUCGGCCAUCGGGAAAGUUUCGGGGUCACCCGGUAUUGUACCGGGACCACCGGAAGGGUCCCGGGGGUCCACUGGGUGGGGCCACCUAUCUCGGAGGGCCUCGUGGGCUGAAGUGGAGGGGAACCAGCCCCUAGUGGGCUGGUGCGCCCCCCCUUGGGCCUCCCCUGCGCCUAGGGUUGGAAACCCUAGGUGGGGGGGGGCCCACUUGCCUUGGGGGGCACUCCACCCCCCCUGGCCGCCGCCCCCUUGGGAGAUUGCAUCUCCCAGGGCUGGCGCCCCCCUGGGGGCCUAUAUAAAGGAGGGCAGGGGGAGGGCAGCCACACCCUGUGUCUUGGCGCCUCCCUCCCCCUGCUACACCUCGUCCUCCUCCCGCGGCAGCUUGGCGAAGCCCUGCCGGAGUUCUGCUGCAUCCACCACCACGUCGACGUGCUGCUGGAUCAUCAUCAACCUCUCCUUCCCCCUUGCUGGAUCGAGACGGAGGAGACGUCACGCUGACCGUACGUGUGUUGAACGCGGAGGUGCCGUCCGUUCGGCGCUAGGAUCUCCGGUGAUAGGAUCACGACGAGAAUGACUACCUCAACCCCAUUCUUUUGAAUGCUUCCGCUCGCGAUCUACAAAGUGGUAUGUAGAUGCAUCUCUCCUUUCACUCGUUGCUUAGAUGAACUCAUAGAUGGAUCUUGGUGAAACCGUAGGAAAAAUUUUAUUUUCUGCAACGUUCCCCAACAGUGGUAUCAAAGCCAGGUUUAUGCGUAGUUCUCUAUUGCACGAGUAGAACACAAAUUUGUUGUGGGCGUAGAUCUUGUCAACUUGCUUGCCGCUACUAGUCUUUUCUUGCUUCAGCGGUAUUGUGGGAUGAAACGGCCCGGACCGACCUUACACGUACGCUUACAUGAGACAGGUUUCACCGACUGACAUGCACUAGUUGCAUAAGGUGGCUAGCGGGUGUCUGUCUCUCCCACUUUAGUUGGAGCGGAUUCGACGAAAAGGGUUCUUAUGAAGGGUAAAUAGAAGUUGACAAAAUCACGUUGUGGUUAUUCGUAGGUAAGAAAACGUUCUUGCUAGAACCCAUUUGCAGCCACGUAAAAGAUGCAACAACAAUUAGAGGACGUCUAACUUGUUUUUACAGCAAUUGUCAUGUGAUGUGAUAUGGCCAGAAGUUGUGAUGAAUGAUAUAUUGUGAUGUAUGAGAUCAAGUUCUUGUAAUAGGAAUCACGACUUGCAUGUCGAUGAGUAUGACAACCGGCAGGAGCCAUAGGAGUUGUCUUUAUUUUUUGUAUGACCUGCGUGUCAUUGAAGAACGCCAUGUAAAUUACUUUACUUUAUUGCUAAAUGCGUUAGCCAUAGAAGUAGAAGUAGUCGUUGGCGUGACAAAUUCAUGAAGACACGAUGAUGGAGAUCAUGAUGAUGGAGAUCAUGGUGUCAUGCCAGUGACGAAGAUGAUCAUGGAGCCCCGAAGAUGGAGAUCGAAGGAGCUAUAUGAUAUUCGCCAUAUCAUGUCACUACUAUAUAAUUGCAUGUGAUGUUUAUUAUGUUUUAUGCAUCUUGUUUACUUAGAACAGCGGUAGUAAAUAAGAUGAUCCCUUAUAAUAAUUUCAAGAAAGUGUUCCCCCUAACUGUGCACCGUUGCUAAAGUUCGUCGUUUCGAAGCACCACGUGAUGAUCGGGUGUGAUAGAUCCUUACGUUCACAUACAACGGGUGUAAGACAGAUUUACACAUGCAGAACACUUAGGGUUAACUUGACGAGCCUAGCAUGUACAGACAUGGCCUCGGAACACAAGAGACCGAAAGGUCGAACAUGAGUCGUAUGGAAGAUACGAUCAACAUGGAGAUGUUCACCAAUGAUGACUAGUCCGUCUCACGCGAUGAUCGGACACGGCCUAGUCGACUCGGAUUGUGUAACACUUAGAUGACUAGAGGGAUGUCAAUCUGAGUGGGAUUUCAUUCAAUAAUUUGAUUAGAUGAACCUAAUUAUCAUGAACUUAGUCUAAAACCUUUGCAAAUAUGUCUUGUAGAUCAAAUGGCCAACGCUCAUGUCAACAUGAACUUCAACGCGUUCCUAGAGAAAACCAAGCUGAAAGAUGAUGGCAGCAACUAUUCGGACUGGGUCCGGAACCUGAGGAUCAUCCUCAUAGCAGCCAAGAAAGCAUAUGUCCUAGAUGAACCGCUAGGUGAAGCACCCAUCCCAGAGAACCAAGACGUUAUGAACGCUUGGCAGUCACGUGCUGAUGAUUACUCCCUCAUUCAGUGCGGCAUGCUUUACAGCUUAGAACCGGGGCUCCAAAAGUGUUUUGAGAAACAUGGAGCAUAUGAGAUGUUCGAGGAGCUGAAAAUGGUUUUUCAAGCUCAUGCCCGGGUCGAGAGAUAUGAAGUCUCCGACAAGUUCUAUAGUUGUAAGAUGGAGGAAAACAGUUCUGUCAGUGAGCACAUACUCAAAAUGUCUGGGUUGCACAACCGCCUGUCCCAGCUGGAGAUCAACCUCCCGGACGAGGCGCUCAUUGACAGAAUCCUUCAGUCACUCCCGCCGAGCUACAAGAGCUUUCUGUUGAACUACAAUAUGCAGGGGAUGGUGAAGACCAUUCCUGAAGUAUUUUCAAUGCUGAAGUCAGCAAAGGUUGAAAUCAAGAAAGAACAUCAAGUGUUGAUGGUCAAUAAGACCACUAAGUUCAAGAAGGGCAAGGGUAAGAAGAACUUCAAGAAGGACGGCAAGGAUGUUGCCGCGCCCGGUAAACCAGUUGCCGGGAAGAAGUCAAAGAAUGGACCCAAGCCUGAGACUGAGUGCUUUUAUUGCAAAGGGAAGGGUCACUGGAAGCGGAACUGCCCCAAAUACUUAGCGGACAAGAAGGCCGGCAACACUAAAGGUAUAUUUGAUAUACAUGUAAUUGAUGUGUACCUUACCAGUACUCGUAGUAACUCCUGGGUAUUUGAUACCGGUGCCGUUGCUCAUAUUUGUAACUCACAGCAGGAGCUGCGGAAUAAGCGGAGACUGGCGAAGGACGAGGUGACGAUGCGCGUCGGGAAUGGUUCCAAGGUCGAUGUGAUCGCCGUCGGCAUGCUACCUCUACAUUUACCCACGGGAUUAGUUAUGAACCUCAAUAAUUGUUAUUUAGUGCCAAGUUUGAGCAUGAACAUUGUAUCUGGAUCUCGUUUAAUACGAGAUGGCUACUCAUUUAAAUCCGAGAAUAAUGGUUGUUCUAUUUAUAUGAGAGAUAUGUUUUAUGGUCAUGCCCCGAUGGUCAAUGGUUUAUUCUUAAUGAAUCUCGAACGUAAUGUUACACACAUUCAUAGCGUGAAUACCAAAAGAUGUAAAGUUGAUAACGAUAGUCCCACAUACUUGUGGCACUGCCGCCUUGGUCACAUUGGUGUCAAACGCAUGAAGAAGCUCCAUGCUGAUGGACUUUUAGAGUCUCUCAAUUAUGAAUCAUUUGACACAUGCGAACCAUGCCUCAUGGGCAAAAUGACCAAGAUUCCGUUCUCCGGAACAAUGGAGCGAGCAACCAACUUAUUGGAAAUCAUACAUACCGAUGUGUGCGGUCCAAUGAGUGUUGAGGCUCGCGGAGGAUAUCGUUAUGUUCUCGCUCUCACUGAUGACUUGAGUAGAUAUGGGUAUGUCUACUUAAUGAAACACAAGUCUGAAACCUUUGAAAAGUUCAAGGAAUUUCAGAAUGAGGUAGAGAAUCAACGUGACCGAAAGAUAAAGUUCCUACGAUCAGAUCGUGGAGGAGAAUACUUAAGUCACGAAUUUGCUACACACUUAAGGAAAUGUGGAAUCAUUUCACAACUCACGCCGCCUGGAACACCUUAGCGUAACGGUGUGUCAGAACGUCGUAAUCACACUCUAUUGGAUAUGGUGCGAUCUAUGAUGUCUCUUACCGAUUUACCGCUAUCAUUUUGGGGAUACGCUCUAGAGACAGCUACAUUCACUUUAAAUAGGGCACCAUCUAAAUCCGUUGAGACGACACCGUAUGAAUUAUGGUUUGGGAAGAAACCUAAGCUGUCAUUUCUAAAAGUUUGGGGAUGCGAUGCUUAUGUCAAGAAACUACAACCUGAAAAGCUCGAACCCAAGUCGGAAAAAUGCGUCUUCAUAGGAUACCCUAAGGAAACCAUUGAGUAUACCUUCUACUUAAGAUCCGAGGGCAAGACCUUUGUUGCCAAGAACGGAUCCUUUCUGGAAAAAGAGUUUCUCUCGAAAGAAGUAAGUGGGAGGAAAGUAGAACUCGAUGAAGUACUAGCUCUUGAACCGGAAAGUAGUACAGCUCAGGAAAAUGUUCCUGUGGUGCCUACACCAACUGGAGAGGAAAUUAAUGAUUGUGAUCAAGGUACUUCGGAUCAAGUUGCUACUGAACCUCGUAGGUCCACAAGGACAUGUUCCACACCAGAGUGGUAUGGCAACCCUGUCCUGGAAAUCAUGUUGUUAGACAACGGUGAACCUUCGAACUAUGAAGAAGCGAUGACGGGCCCAUAUUCCAACAAAUGGCUUGAAGCCAUGCAAUCCGAGAUAGAAUCCAUGUAUGAAAACAAAGUAUGGACUUUGACUGACUUGCCCGAUGAUCGGCGAGCGAUAGAAAACAAAUGGAUCUUUAAGAAGAAGACGGACGCGGAUGGUAAUAUUACCGUCUAUAAAGCUCGACUUGUCGCUAAGGGUUAUCGACAAGUUCAAGGGGUUGACUGCGAUGAGACAUUCUCUCCCGUAGCGAAGUUGAAGUCCGUCCGAAUCAUGUUAGCAAUUGACGCAUACUAUGAUUAUGAGAUAUGGCAGAUGGACGUCAAAACGGCAUUCCUUAACGGGCAUCUUAAGGAAGAAUUGUAUAUGAUGCAGCCAGAGGGUUUUGUCGAUCCUAAGAAUACUAACAAAGUAUGCAAGCUCCAGCGAUCCAUUUAUGGGCUGGUGCAAGCAUCUCGGAGUUGGAACAUUCGCUUUGAUGAGAUGAUCAAAGCAUUUGGGUUUAUGCAGACUUAUGGAGAAGCCUGCGUUUACAAGAAAGUGAGUGGGAGCUCUGUAGCAUUUCUCAUAUUAUAUGUAGAUGACAUACUUUUGAUGGGAAAUGAUAUAGAACUUUUGGACAGCAUUAAGGCCUACUUGAAUAAGUGUUUUUCAAUGAAGGACCUUGGAGAAGCUGCUUACAUAUUAGGCAUCAAGAUCUAUAGGGAUAGAUCAAGACGCCUCAUAGGUCUUUCACAAAGCACAUACCUUGAUAAGAUUUUGAAGAAGUUCAAAAUGGAUCAGUCCAAGAAGGGGUUCUUGCCUGUAUUGCAAGGUGUGAGAUUGAGCUCAGCUCAAUGCCCGACCACGGCAAAAGAUAAAGAAGAGAUGAGUGUCAUCCCCUAUGCUUCAGCCAUAGGAUCUAUUAUGUAUGCCAUGCUGUGUACCAGACCUGAUGUAAACCUUGCCGUAAGUUUGGUAGGAAGGUACCAAAGUAAUCCCGGCAAGGAACACUAGACAGCGGUCAAGAAUAUCCUGAAGUACCUCAAAAGGAGAAAGGACAUGUUUCUCAUUUAUGGAGGUGACGAAGAGCUCGCCGUAAAGGGUUACGUCGACGCUAGCUUCGACACAGAUCUAGAUGACUCUAAGUCACAAACCGGAUACAUGUAUAUGUUGAAUGGUGGAGCAGUAAGCUGGUGCAGCUGCAAGCAGAGCGUUGUGGCGGGAUCUACAUGUGGAGCGGAGUACAUGGCAGACUCGGAGGCAGCGCAUGAAGCAAUAUGGGUGAAGGAGUUCAUCACCGACCUAGGAGUCAUACCCAAUGCGUCGGGGCCGAUCAAACUCUUCUGUGACAACACUGGAGCUAUUGCCCUUGCCAAGGAGCCCAGGUUUCACAAGAAGACCAGGCACAUCAAGCGUCGUUUCAACUCCAUCCGUGAAAAUGUUCAAGAUGGAGACAUAGAUAUUUGCAAAGUACAUACGGAUCUGAAUGUCGCAGAUCCGUUGACUAAACCUCUCUCGCGAGCAAAACAUGAUCAACACCAGAACUCUAUGGUUGUUCGAUUCAUCACAAUGUAACUAGAUUAUUGACUCUAGUGCAAGUGGGAGACUGUUGGAAAUAUGCCCUAGAGGAUAUAAUAAAAGGAUUAUUAUUAUAUUUCCUUGUUUAUGAUAAUUGUCUUUAUUCAUGCUAUAAUUGUAUUAUCCGGAAAUCGUAAUACACAUGUGAAUACAUAGACCAUAAUAUGUCCCUAGUAAGCCUCUAGUUGACUAGCUCGUUGAUCAACAUAUAGUCAUGGUUUCCUGACUAUGGACAUUAGAUGUCGUUGAUAGCAGGAUCACAUCAUUAGGAGAAUGAUGUGAUGGACAAGACCCAAUCCUAAGCAUAGCACAAGAUCGUGUAGUUCGUUUUGCUAGAGCUUUUCCAAUGUCAAGUAUCUUUUCCUUAGACCAUGAGAUCGUGUAACUCCCGGAUACCGUAGGAGUGCUUUGGGUGUACCAAACGUCACAACGUAACUGGGUGACUAUAAAGGUGCACUACAGGUAUCUCCGAAAGUGUCUGUUGGGUUGACACGGAUCGAGACUAGGAUUUGUCACUCCGUAUUACGGAGAGGUAUCACUGGGCCCACUCGGUAGUGCAUCAUCAUUAUGAGCUCAAAGUGACCAAGUGUCUGGUCAUGAGAUCAUGCAUUACGGUACGAGUAAAGUGACUUGCCGGUAACGAGACUGAACGAGGUAUUGGGAUAUCGACGAUCGAGUCUCGGGUAAGUAACAUACCGUCUGACAAAGGGAAUAGUAUACGGGGUUGCUUGAAUCCUCGACAUCGUGGUUCAUCCGAUGAGAUCAUCGAGGAGUAUGUGGGAGCCAACAUGGGUAUCCAGAUCCCGCUGUUGGUUAUUGACCGGAGAGCUGUCUCGGUCAUGUCUACAUGUCUCCCGAACCCGUAGGGUCUACACACUUAAGGUUCGGUGACGCUAGGGUUGUAUGAAUAUGAGUAUGCAGCAAACUGAAUGUUUUUCGGAGUCCCGGAUGAGAUCCCGGACGUCACGAGGAGUUUCAGAAUGGUCCGGAGGUAAAGAAUUAUAUAUAGGAAGUGGUGUUUCGGCCAUCGGGAAAGUUUCGGGGUCACCCGGUAUUGUACCGGGACCACCGGAAGGGUCCCGGGGGUCCACCGGGUGGGGCCACCUAUCCCGGAGGGCCCCGUGGGCUGAAGAGGGAGGGGAACCAGCCCCUAGUAGGCUGGUGCGCCCCCCCUUGGGACUCCCCUGUGCCUAGGGUUGGAAACCCUAGGUGGGGGGGCACUUGCCUUGGGGGGCACUCCACCCCCCCUGGCCGCCGCCCCCUUGGGAGAUUGCAUCUCCUAGGGCCGGCGCCCCCCUGGGGGCCUAUAUAAAGGAGGGCAGGGGGGAGGGCAGCCGCACCCUGUGUCUUGGCGCCUCCCUCCCCCUGCUACACCUCGUCCUCCUCCCGCAGCAGCUUGGCGAAGCCCUGCCGGAGUUCUGCUGCAUCCACCACCACGCUGUCGUGCUGCUGGAUCAUCAUCAACCUCUCCUUCCCCCUUGCUGGAUCGAGACGAAGGAGACGUCAUGCUGACCAUACGUGUGUUGAACGCGGAGGUGCCGUCCGUUCGGCGCUAGGAUCUCCGGUGAUAGGAUCACGACGAGAACGACUACCUCAACCCCAUUCUUUUGAAUGCUUCCGCUCGCGAUCUACAAAGUGGUAUGUAGAUGCAUCUCUCCUUUCACUCGUUGCUUAGAUGAACUCAUAGAUGGAUCUUGGUGAAACCGUAGGAAAUUUUUUAUUUUCUGCAACGUUCCCCAACAACAUCCACGAUCUUUCAAUUGGUAUCAGAGCCUCGUCUCUCUUUGUUGGGCUUAACCGCCUAGAGAGUAAAGAUGUCGACUAGGGGAUUAGGAUUCUCUGACACUCUUAGUUUCGAUGGCACAAAUUUUGAUGUUUGGGUAAUUCACGUGCUUAAUCUCUUUAGGGUCAUGGACCCAAAUUUAGAGCGAAUUGUAGAUAUGAGUUUUUCUCCUCCAAAGAAUCCCCAAAGAUUAUCUUUAGGGGAUGAGAAAAACUCUUAUCUCAAUGCUCAAACUUCUAAUGUGCUUUUCGAUGCUUUGAGCAAUGUAGUUAUAUUUCAACUCAUGCCGUUCCGGGAUGCUCAUCAGUUGUGGACAAAGCUUCAAGAUAAAUAUGGCAUGUCCAAGAUUUGUAAGGAUGAUUGUUCUCCCUCCACCUUCGGCCGUGUUGCAUUCUCAACUUCUUCUACUUCACCUACAUAUGGUUUGCCACAAGGUAAUGAUAUGGUGAGUAGUGUUGGUCAUUGCAAUGAUGAUAGUAUGCUUAUUGUGGAUGAUCCUUCAUCACUAUCUUAUUGCAAUGCUCCCUCUUUAGGCUUUAACACUUCGAGCACUCCAAAUGUUUCACAUGCUUGUGUUGAUAAUCCUUGCAUAUCAUGUAGAAAUUGCUUGACUAGAUCUCAUGAUGAUAUGCUUGCUAUGUCUUGUUGCCAUGAUAAAAAUGCAUCUAUUUCCUCGAAUUGUUGUGCUAACAAUGUAGAGGAAACCGAACACUCCAUGGAACAAUAUGUGGUGUUUAAUGGUGCCUCAAGGGAUCCUACAUCAUCAUCUAUUGCUUUUUGCCUUAUGGCUAGGGCGUCAAAGGUAUCUCCUACUUUGUACCCCAAUAUGUCUCUUGAUGAUGAUGUUGAGGAUAAUGAUGAAGAGAAUGAUAAUGUUGCCUCCUUAAAAACUAAGAGGGAAAUGAUUUUUAAAGCUCUUCAUAAAAAUAAAAUUGCUCGUUCCAACUUCAUGGAAAUAAUGUCCAUUGCCAUUGAUGACAAGAAAUACAUUGAGGAGUUGGAAUCUCAUCUAGAGGAGCAUGAGGUCACCAUUGAGAAAAUGGAAGGUCAUGGGCGUGAUUAUGCUAAUGAGAUUGCGGACCUCUCUCAAGCUCUUGAACUUGAACAAACCACCAAGGAAUCUCUUGAGGAGACUUUUGCUCUAGAAUUGUCUAGAGUGAAGGAAUGUAAUGAUAGAGCUCUUGAGGUGGCCAAUGUUUUUGAAACUAAAAAUGCUAAGCUUGAAGUUGCUCAUGCUAGACUCCUUGAGGAUUUUGAGCACCUCGAAAAUGGCUCAAGGGUCAUCAAGGGUGAGCUCAUCAAACUCACCGAGUCUCAUGCUCAACUUGAAGCUUCUUAUUUAAAAGAGCUUUCCAAGUUGUCCUCUCCUAUUGUUGUAAAUGAUGAUGCUUGUGCUACUAACUCUAUUGCUUGUGAAGCAUCCAUUUUGAAGGAGAAUGUUGAGCUAUGGGCUCAACUUGAGGUGCUAUCUAGCAAUUAUGGGAAAUUGGAAGAAAGUCAUGAAAAGCUCUCAAGCUCUCAUGAUGAUCUUCUAGUAUCCCAUAGUGUUCUAAAGAUAGCUCAUGAGGCCAUGAUUGCUAAGGUAACAUCUAGUAAGCCUCAUGUGGAUACUAGCACUACUUCUAGUCAAAAUAGUAUAUUGCCAUGUGAUAGUCCUUGUAAUUCAUCUACUCACAAUGUUGGUACAUCUUGUGAUGAAUUGCUUUCCUUGCCUUGUUGCUCUAACGAUGAAGCUUAUACUUCCUCUAGUACUUGUGUUGAGACUAACCAUGUAGAGGAAAUCAAAGAGCUCAAGGCCCAAGUCACUUCUUUGAAGAAAGACUUGGAAAAGAGUCAUCAAGGGAAAUCCACACUCAACAAUAUAUUGAGUGUGCAAAAAUCCCCCAAUGACAAAGGUGGACUUGGAUUCAACUCCAAUAGGAAGAAGAAGUCCAAGAUGAACAAAAGGAAGGGCCAAGAACAAGUCAAGAAUUCAGCCAAGAUUCUUUGCUUCAAGUGCAAAGUCGAAGGGCAUCAUGUUAGAUCUUGCCCAUUGAAGAAGAAGGCCAUUAGUGUCAAGCAACAAGUUGAAGAAAGGCCUCUUCCCAAGAAGACUCAAGUUAAUGCUUCUCAAAUUGAGAAAUCAAGUGAGAAGAAAGUGAAGAGUAGACGUUGCUACUUAUGUCGUGAGAAAGGUCACGUUGCUUCUUCAUGCACUAGUGGUAACUUAUCCAACCCAAUUAUUAUUGAUGAUAUCUAUUCUCUUGGUAAGGAUAAGGUUGGCAAUGUGUUUGCCACGUUUGUUGGUACUCAAAGUGGUGUCAAGCAAAGAACCAUUUGGGUAGCCAAACCUAUUGUGACUAACCUCUUAGGACCCAACUUGGUUGGGGACCAACAAGCUCAAACUUGAUCAAUAGGUGUUGUUGGAGGGCAUUGGAGACUUGGCUACAUUGUGAAGAAUUAAGGGGACUUCAUCACUCUUAUUGUCUCAAGCCAAGUCAAUUGAAUCAUCAAGUUUAUAUCUUAUAUCGAAUGUGCCUCCUUGCGGUAACUUGUACUUAAAAUUGCUUACAUUGAAAGUUACUUGCCCCCUUGCAUGUUUUGGUUUUGUUCCUUGCAUGUGUUUGUAUAUGUUGUGAUUCCAACUUGCUUAUCUUGAGCAAUCAAGUAUGUGUGUGUUGGUUUGCACAUCAUGUACGCGUGUGUCGUGCGUUGAGACUUUAUGCUUCUUGUUUGUAUCCUAGUUGGCUCGUGUGAGAGAUUAAUGGAACAUCCCAUUUUGGGGGAGUGAUAUGCUUUGUGCACCUCACAAUCCUAUAAAUAUGUGUACAUGAGGAAUACCAUCUAGUAUUGAUAUUACAAGAUUAUCUAGUCGCUAGGUGGUAUAUCUCUCAUGAGAAAUUCAAAUUCUAAAUAGUCCAUUAAUUAUCUCUUGUUUGUUCCUCUUAUUGCCUCUUGUUAAGUUCUUAUUGGUAUCACAUUAUGGGGGAGUAAUAUGCUAAGUGCAUAUUACAAGCCUAGAAAAUGUGUACAUUUGAGAUAUUGUCACCUAGAAUUGAUAUUGUAGAUUAUCUUGUUCCUAGGUGGCAUGUUAGCUCUACAAGUUGCAAUUUGCUUGUGUUGUGUGUGAAGAUGAUGUCGGAUAUCCUUGUUAUCUACCACCGGGAAUUAUUUCCAAAUACUUCUUGUCUUUGACAAUUGGUAGUCUUAUGUGUGGUAGAAUUUGUUGAUCAUCUUUACAUUGGCUUUUGUUUUACUUGCCUUUUCUCUUGCCAAGGUUUGUGUCAACUCCCGUUGUCUUCCAUACCACUUGUGGAUCUUGUUUAUUUCUUGUUCUUGUCUAGUGUUUUCUAGAUAUAGUGAAAGCGGUGAUCCCACCUUGUGCAUUUUCUAUUCAAAUACAAAUCCUAUAUAAUGCACAACUCGUGGGGGAACUAUUCUAUUUUCUUUAGAACACUCUUCUUGUGAUCCUUAUCAAGUGUGUUUUGGUGGAAGGCAAGCCAUUUCUUUUUGGUACUUUGUGCCAUCAUGAAACUUUGUUGAGAGCUUGGUUUGUUUGGAACCAUCCUCUCUUUGGGAGUUUGACAUCUUUAGUUUAGUGUGCAUCAAUGGAUAUCUUAUUCCUUGAUGUAUCUUUAAUGAUAUCUUCCAAGUGAUGAUUUCUCCAUUUGGUAUCCUUUUCACUUGGCAUUUCUUUGUCUUUUGGUUUCGGGUUUUGAAAGUCUUGAGCAUGCAUGUUUACUUCAUGUAUUUCAUUUGGCAUGCUUUCUUUCUUUGACUCAAUAUAUAGCGGAAACUCCACCUAGUCUCAAUUUGGAUGAGAUGUGCAUGAAAUUCAUUUUCAUAUCUAUAUGCACAUAUUUAUGUGGAGUUUGUCCUAUGUAUUGCUGUUUCUAACUAUUUGGUCCCGAUGAGUUUGGGGUACCGUUUAGUUUGUGUUGUUCUUCUAGGAACAUUUGGAGAUGCAUUGGAUGCUCGGCUCACUCACAAGGAAGGUGUUGUCACCAUGUGCAUAUUGGAGUCAAGCUAGGAUGAUCAAUGAACUACUAUCUACCUUCAAUUGGUAUCUACUACAUCCUUCCAAUGAUAUCUCGGUAACAAGUAUUUAUUCAUGCUUUCUCCUCUUGCAUUCAACCUUGUGUAGGUUGCAUCUUGGCAUGAUAUUCAUUUCAUACCUUGUGAUACUUGUUUCCUUUCUCAAAGCAUCCCAACGAUGAUCUAUUGUUGCUAGUUGUGAUGCCUUUGAUGGAUGUGUGUUUGGACUUCAUUUAUAUACAAUAAGACCAUAUCUAGCCAAGUGCUAUGCUUUCAAGCAAAUAUCUUAUUGGUAUAUUUAUGACUUCCUUGUGGAUAUCUUGUUCUUUCGUGUUGUAACUAUUUCGGGUGUACAUCCUUCUCUGUAGAUAUAUAUAUAUCAUCAUGAUUUCGUCUACAUAGAACCUUAUACACUUGAGAGAAAUUAAUUUUCUAGUUGAUAUCCUUUCUUUCACGUCCACCUUGUCUUUCUUAUGUUAUUUCUUUGGUGGCUCCGUGAAAGCUUUUGCCUUGAGUGUGUGUCCUCUAUCGUUGCAUCUUGUUACACUCUUGUGUGGUGAAGAUUAUUUUCCUCUUGAUUAUUGAGGGAGUCCUGGACUAGGGGGUGUCCGGAUAGCCGAACUAUCAUCAUCGGCCGGACUCCAAGACUAUGAAGAUACAAGAUUGAAGACUUCGUCCCGUGUCCGGAUGGGACUUUCCUUGGCGUGGAAGGCAAGCUUGGCGAUACGGAUAUGUAGAUCUCCUACCAUUGUAACCGACUCUGUGUAACCCUAGCCCUCUCCGAUGUCUAUAUAAACCGGAUGGUUUUAGUCUGUAGGACAUAACAACAAUCAUACCAUAGGCUAGCUUCUAGGGUUUAGCCUCCUUGAUCUCGUGGUAGAUCUACUCUUGUAAUACCCACAUCAUCAAUAUCAAUCAAGCAGGACGUAGGGUUUUACCUCCAUCAAGAGGGCCCGAACCUGGGUAAAACAUCGUGUCCCUUGUCUCCUGUUACCAUCCGCCUAGACGCACAGUUCGGGACCCCCUACCCGAGAUCCGCCGGUUUUGACACCGACAUUGGUGCUUUCAUUGAAAGUUCCACUAUGUCGUCACCGAUAGGCUCGAUGGCUCCUUCGAUCAUCAACAACGACGCGGUCCAGGGUGAGACUUUUCUCCCCGAACAGAUCUUCGUAUUUGGCGGCUUCGCACUGCGGGCCAAUUCGUUUGGCCAUCUGGAGCAGAUCGAAAGCUACGCCCCUGGCCGUCAGGUCAGAUCUGGAAGUCUGAACUUCACGGCCAGCAUCCGCGAGACUUGAUCUUCGAUGGAUUCGAGCCACAGUCGAGCGCGCUGCACUGUCACGAUGGACAUGAUCUAGCUUUGAUGCCGGACAGUGCCUUGGAGGCCGCACACGAGUCUACUCCGACCCUCGAUUCGGAGCCGGCUAUGCAGAUCGAGGACGGGUGGCUGGACACCGCCUCGGGGACUGCAACCUCUACGGUGAUAGAGCCGAACACUGACCUUGUCCCUUGUGAAGCUUGUGACUCCGAGGUGCCGGACUCCUUGCCGGACUCCAAACCUCCCACACCCCCUUCAAUCGAAUCCGAUUGGGCGCCCAUCAUGGAGUUCACCGCUGCGGACAUCUUUCAACACUCACCUUUCGGCGACAUCCUGAGUUCGCUAAAGUACCUCUUGCUAUCAGGAGAGCCCUGGCCGGACUGCGGUCAGGACGGUUGGGAUGCGGACGACGAAGAAAUUCAAGGCCCACCCACCACCCACUUAGUAGCCACUGUCGACGAUUUAACCGACAUGCUAGACUUCGACUCCGAAGAGAUCAACGGUAUGGACGACGAUGCCAGAGACGACCAAGAACCAGCACCUACUGGGCACUGGAAAGCCACCUCAACUCACGACGUAUACAUGGUGGAUACACCAAAAGGAAGCGAUAACGAGGAACAACGAGACGCGGCGAAGGAUAAUUCCCCCGAAAAACAACAAAAACGGCGACGCAAGCACCGCCCGAAGUCCCACCUCGAUAACAACGACACCCAUACUGACCCAGCCGUAGAGCAGGGUAAACCAGUAGACGAGCAACCCAUUCCCGGCGAAAAAAAUAGUCCAACCGAUCUCAUGCCGGACACAUCACCGGAGCAUAAGAACCUUCACAGAAGGCUCGUCACCACGGCAAGGAGUUUGAAGAAGCAAAAGCGGAAGCUCAAAACGGCGGAAGACGUACUCAGAAUGAGAUGGAGCAAAGUACUCAAGACCGCAGAUAAAUACGGCGAUAGUCACCAAGCAAAGAGCUACCCGAAGCGCAAGCUGUUGCCCGAAUUUGACGAGGAGGCCGUAGAGCCCCCACAGUCAAAAAAGAAAGAGGCCGCCUGGCCGGAUAGACGACCAGAUAACAGGCUAAGAGCGGCAAGCGGAGCCGCACAUAAUCCGGCACACGAUCCAAAUAAGGAUCCUCGCAAAAAGGAUGGCCCAGUCAGGUCCAUCUAUGGGCCAAAAUAGAAGGCUCCAGGAAGCGACACAACCCGCCGAGUGUUCGAAGAUAACGGCACACCUAAGUACAGGGGCGCCGCACACCCACUAUGUUUCACCGACGAGGUACUGGAUCAUGAAUUUCCAGCGGGAUUCAAGCCCGUAAACAUAGAGGCAUAUGACAGAACAACAGACCCCGGAGUCUGGAUUGAGGAUUAUAUCCUACACAUACAUAUGGCUAGAGGAGACGAUCUCCACACCAUAAAAUACCUACCCCUCAAGCUCAAAGGGCCAGCUCGGCAUUGGCUCAAAAGCCUCCCGGAAAAUACCAUCGGAAGUUGGGAAGAGCUUGAGGAUGCGUUUCGAGCAAAUUUUCAGGGAACUUAUGUCUGCCCUCCGGACGUGGACGAUUUAAGUCACAUAACUCAACAGCCCGGGGAGUCAGCAUGCAAAUUCUGGAACAGGUUCCUCACCAAAAAUAACCAAAUAGUCGACUGUCCGGACGCCGAAGCCUUAGCAGCCUUUAAACAUAACGUCCGAGACGAAUGGCUCGCCAGACACCUCGGCCAGGAAAAACCAAGAACAAUGGCCGCACUAACAAGCCUCAUGACCCGCUUUUGCGCGGGGGAAGAUAGCUGGCUAGCAAGAUGCAGCACUAGCGACCCGAGUACAUCCGAGGUCAGGGAUGGAAAUGGGAAAUCACGACGCAGAAAAGAUCAGCGCUGGAAUAAGGAAAGCGGCCCAAAUAGCACGGCGGUCAACGCCAGAUUCAAAAGCUCUCGGCCGAAUAACAAAACACUGCCCCUUAAGGACAACAGUGACGAGCUAUCCAACCUAAACAAAAUCUUGGAUAGGAUAUGUCAAAUCCACAGUAUCCCCGAGAAGCCUGCAAACCAUACCCACAGAGAUUGUUGGGUCUUCAAGCAGUCCGGCCGACUUAACGCCGAACACAAGGGGCUCGACACACCAAGCGAAGACGAUGACGAAUCCCACAAGCAGCAGGCCGGAAAACAGAAGACUUUCCCACUAGAAGUCAAAACAGUGAACUCACUUCAUGUGAUAAAUAGUGCGGCAACUACUAAAACACGCGCCGCACGAUCCACCCAAGCAGAGCCCCGAAAUUGGAUGUCAAACCCAAUUACUUUUGACCAUCAGGAUUACUCCAGAAGUAUUCGAAACGCAGGAGGGACUGCUUUGAUAUUGGAUCCCAUAAUAGACGGACUACAAUUCACACAAGUCCUAAUGGAUGGCAGAAGCAAUAUAAACCUGCUAUACCAGGACACCAUCCGCAGAAUGGGGAUAGACCCUACCAAAAUUCGCCAUAGCAACACUUCCUUCAAAGGAGUGACACCAGGCCUUUAUGCCAAGUGUACAGGCUCUAUACUACUAAAAGUUGUGUUUGGUUCACCCAACAACUUCCGUCGCGAAAAGCUAAUCUUCCAUAUCGCCCCAUUCAAAAGUGGCCAUCAAGCACUACUGGGACGCGAAGCUUUCGUCCACUUUAACGCAAUACCGCAUUACAUGUCUCUUACACUCAAAAUGCCCGGUCCACGCGGCAUAAUCUCAUUAAAGGGAAACUCUGAGUGUUCCUUGACCACGGAAAACGUGAGACUGCCUUGACAGCCACACAUUAAUCCAACCUUGUUGAUCAAAGCCCCUAAAAACAGGUCAUUUAGACCUCGGACAUGGUUGGGCGAGUCCGGCAUAAAUAAACAAGGGGCUUCCCAGCUGCAUACCUAUUUACAAGGGGCUGCACGUAUAAACAAUGAGAGCCAAUAAAGCUCAAUUUCAUUCAUCUUCCAAAUCAUACUCUGUUUUAAAUACAUCUUUUGCAUGAUAUUUUUUCCAAAUUAAGUUCUUCUCUUUUACAGAUGAACCACGUGCUACACGCGUCCAGGAUAUAGCACAACGGAGACACAGGCGCAGACGUGCAGCAGGGACCUGUUACAAGGAUUCUUUUCAGAUUAAGACCCUGCGUAAACCUUUCUUACUGUCUCUUGUUGAUACUCAUCCCCCGAUUUCCUACCAUAACCGAGGAGGAGGCUGGCGUUUUGGCAUCGGCCGCGUCAGAAGUUCUCGCCUGUGCCUGGACACUAGGGGCUUAGGGCAUUGUUCUGCCCGUUAUCAUAAAGUCCGAAUACCUUAGGGAGUGUUCGGCGUCUCGAGUUAGGCCUUAUAUGCAUCAGCUCCGAAUCAUGUCUUUGGUCAAAUGUUGGGUUUGCCCGGCUCCUGUGUUUUGCUGCCUUACGUUCCGCUCCAUCGGCUAACGCGACACCAGGAGAACUACUGCGAUUGUGCCCCGGUUUGGCCGGGCGAGCACCUCAGUAGAGAAAGCCGAAAACUGAUUGUCAUGAUAUAGCGAGAGACUGGUCAACCACUCGAUCGACUAUUUGAAUGUUUAGAAUUCCUCCGCUUUCAUGAAGGACCGCUUCCCGGUCAGGCACACACGCGCCCCGAGUUCGGAGAGUGCGGUGCCUCUAGGGGCUAUAUAGUAGCCCCACCAUCGAGCUCCUAUGGCUAAGUGAAAGUGAUAAAGCAUUAUAGUCCGGUUUCCUAGUUUGCUAUGCUAUCACCUCCUUCAAAGGACCAAGACGUUGGAUUAAGUGUGAAAAUGCGCUUUUUUGCAAACACCCCCGCACUAUGUGCGUGGGGGCUGAAGCCAAAGACUGCCAUCUUUCAGGUUAUAAAUACAUAUACAUUAACGGCCGCACAGGAGAUAUUUCAAUACUUGAACGCACAAGUAUAAAAAGUCGUUACAUUAUAAAUAUGAUCUCACAAAUCAUACAUGUCAUUUGAACAUGACAUUUUUCGAGCACUGCGACUCUAUUAAAUGAGCUGCAUGACUUCCUCAAAAUAGUGCUCGGUGGGUAAUCGGCUCUCGUCCGAACCCCGGGACGCAACAUCAGUGGCAUUCAUAUCCGCCCAGUAUGUCUUAACACGGGCAAGAGCCAUCCGUGCACCCUCUAUGCAGGCCGACCGCUUCAUCGCCUUGAUAUGCGGCACCGCCCCAAGGAAUUGCUGCAAUAAGCCAAAAUAACUCUUCGGCUUGGGCCUUCCCGGCCACAGAUGAGCCACCACAUCCGUCAUGGCAAGUCCGGACAAUCUAUUCAGCUCAGCCCACUCAGCCAACCGAUCGGUCAACGGAAGUGGACGCUCCGGACUAUGGAAUUGAGACCAAAAAAGCUCUUCCAUUUCAUGAUCCUUCUGACUUCGAAAAUGCACAACUGCGUCCGCCGCACUUGCCGCCAAAUCCAGAUAAGGAUCCUCCGCACUCCACAACUGGCCCAAUUGAGCAUACUUCGGAUCCGUGAAUUUCCUCCGUAACAGAAAGGGCUUUCUAGCCGCAAUGUCUCCGGCCUGACGCAGUUCCUCCUUUAUAGCCCGCAUUGCAGAACGAGCAUCCUUGGCUUCGGCGGUGGCCUUCUUCAGGCCCUCCUGCUCCACUUGGCGCUCUCUUUCAAGAACCUCAUAGCGGUCGGUAGCAUCUUUUAAUUUCAUGGCCAUUACAGCCAUUUCCUCCCUGCUUCGGCAGUGAGCAGCCUUUUCGGCUUUUAGCUCCUCCGCUGCCUUCAAGGCAGCCGCAUCACUUUUUCUGGCUUGGUCCUUGGCUCGAGCAAGUUCUGCCCGGAGGUCUUCCACAGCAGCGGCACCAUCUGCAUCAAGCAUACAUGUUGUAAGGAGUGGGCAUCAGCUCCCUUACCAGGUGACCGCGGAGAAACCACCUACCUUGUGACUCGUCAAGUCGUUUAUUGACCAGCGCGAUGUCCGCAUCCGCAACAUCGAGUUGUCGCUUCAGCUCGGCAACUCUAUCAGUACGGCUGGCCACCGAACGUUCCACCACCUGCUUAGGAAAGGCGACAUUUUGUAACUGAGAUUAUGAUCCUCGGCACGCUGUCGCUUUCGACAACAUACCGAGUCUCAGGGGCUACUAUCUAUACAGGGCGCACCCUAUGUGCAAAACUGUCAAAAGGUAUGUCAUUUUUUGCGUACCUCAAACCCCGUCAGUAAACUUCCGACGGCCUCAUGUAACCCGCUCUCGGCGGAUGAGAUCCUUUCAAUCACCACACUCAUUAAUGCACGGUGAUCUUCUAAGAGAGACGCCCUCUCGAGCAAACCCUGCAGCUCCACCGGCCGUACUCCAGUGGGUGCCGAACUCCCAGGCCCCGCCGGACUCGGGGAGACCCUCCGUGACGACACCUCAGGGUCGUUCGCCCUGCCCGACAAGGCGGCAAAUGGAGGCAUUUCUCUCUCCAUCAUCUCUGGACGAAGAUCCCCCGAGGAUGAGCUCUGCUGAGAAGGGCUGAGAUCCGAACUACAAGGUAAAAACUUUGGUUACCCUUAGAAAUAAAAUAGGGAUGUCCCUUAUUAUAAAACUUCCCUUUUUUCUACUUACGGCUCGCUGGGGGGCUGAUUCCUUUGGGGAGACUGUGCGGCCGGGACUCCUCCCGGUACAGGACCUUCCGGUGCAGAUUUCUUUCCCCGCUUCGAGGCUUUGGCCUCCGGGUUUUCGGAAGCGGUCUUCUUCUCCCCCUAGAGGGAGGGAUUCUUGAUUCCCCCCUUACCGAGAGCCUCCUUAACAGAGGUGACAGUUUCCCUGUUCCCCCUUCGCCCUCCUCCGAAGGCGCUACCUCCAACAUUUUGAUUAACACGGGAUCCGGCGUGGUCUCAAGGAGGGGGGGCGGACACCGUAUCAGUUUUGCUUGCGCUAUCCACUCCUGUUCAAGGGAUAGCUGGUUAAAAGGCAAAUCCAUGAUAAAUAAAUGGAUGAUAUGUCCGGUCACAGGGCUACUUACUUGAGUAUCCGGGCGAUUGCAGCUUAGGCCAGCGUCCUCGGUCAAGUCCGGACACACUUCUUGUGAUCCGAAGAACAGUUUGUACAUCUCCACGGGUUUUGUACCCAUAAAGUGUUGGAGAGCUCGUGGUCCCUCCGGAUUGAAUUCCUACAGGUGGAGGGGGCGAUGUUUGCAGGGCAGAAGACGUCGAAUCAGCAUAACCUGCGUCACUACGACCAGAUUGAUCUCCCUCUCUUGGCGGUCUCGAAUCCGGCCCUGCAAUAGGGGUACGUCCUUGGACGGCCCCCAGUCGAACCCUUUGUUGACCCACGAUGUCAGCCGUGGUGGAGGGCCUGGGUGAAAGGCAGGCGGCGGCCUCUGCCUGCUGCCCCUAGGAGCAGUGAUAUAGAACCACUCCUGUUGCCACAAACCGAGCUCCUCCUGAAAAGAGCCCUUGGGCCAUGGAGCAUCGGCCCUCUUGCUUAUAACCGCCCCGCCGCACUCUGCCUGACGCCCCUCAAUCAUCUUCGGCUCCACAUUGAAGGUUUUGAGCCACAAACCAAAGUGAGGGGUAGUGCGGAGGAAGGCUUCGCAGAUGGCAAUAAAUGAUGAGAUGUGGAGGAUAGACUCCAGAGCCAAGUCGUGGAAUUCCAGCCCGUAGUAAAACAGGAGCCCCCUCACGAAGGGAUCCAUCUGGAAGCCUAAACCCCGACGGAGGUGAGACACGAACACGACACUCUCGCCAGGCUUAGGAGUAGGAAUGACUUGCCCUUGGGCAGGCAACCUAUGCGAAAUCUCGUAGGUUAGGUACCUGGCGUCUCUCAGCCUUAGCACGUCCUCUUCCAUGACGGAGGAGGGCAUCCACCGGCCCUGUAGGUCAGAGCCGGACAUUGUCGAAGAUCCGGAGUGCCCGAAUCUGGAGCCCUGGGUGUUGGAACUCGGGGCGAGGGGCGAUUUCAUUGAGGAUUGAAGAAAAGGAACGGGCCUUGGUCUCCUUAUAAAGAGGGAGAAUACCAAGAGCCGUCCUCGUGACCGUUUGGAACUCGCCUUAGAUGGAGGGGGCGUGGCAACGGGCGCGGUUGGGUUACCCACGUCCGUAUUGAUGAGAAUCCCGGGAUAAGGGGAACACGAUCUCUGCUUCGACAAGACGUGCCAAGGAAACUGCUUCGCUAAACGUGCUGAGGUGGUAUAAUAAAAACAAUUCAAGUAAAGGCUUGGUUGUGGUGUGACGUCACGCCACGAAAUGCGUCAGCAGAUUGAACUUGUGUAAAUAUUAUUCUCUCUACGGUGGAAUGUGGAAUUUAUUUUGCAGAGCCGGACACUAUCCUGGUGUUCACAAUCUUCUAUAAAUUAUUCGGAGGAGGAACCCGCCUUGCAAUGCCGAAGACAAUAUGCGCGCCGGACUCGUCAUCAUUGAAGCCUGGUUCAGGGGCUACUGAGGGAGUCCUGGACUAGGGGUGUCCGGAUAGCCGAACUAUCAUCAUCGGCCGGACUCCAAGACUAUGAAGAUACAAGAUUGAAGACUUCGUCCCGUGUCCGGAUGGGACUUUCCUUGGCGUGGAAGGCAAGCUUGGCAAUACGGAUAUGUAGAUCUCCUACCAUUGUAACCGACUCUGUGUAACCCUAGCCCUCUCCGGUGUCUAUAUAAACCGGAUGGUUUUAGUCCGUAGGACAUAACAACAAUCAUACCAUAGGUUAGCUUCUAGGGUUUAGCCUCCUUGAUCUCGUGGUAGAUCUACUCUUGUAAUACCCACAUCAUCAAUAUCAAUCAAGCAGGACGUAGGGUUUUACCUCCAUCAAGAGGGCCCGAACCUGGGUAAAACAUCGUGUCCCUUGUCUCCUGUUACCAUCCGCCUAGACGCACAGUUCGGGACCCCCUACCCGAGAUCCGCCGGUUUUGACACCGACACUUAUCUUUACGAGGUUUUUGCCAUCUUAAUUGGUAUCCCUCGUCUUGAUGAGCCUCCCCUCAUCUACCUUCACCACGGGUUGUCACAAGCAUAGGUUAUCUUUUGCUUAUUAGUAAGCUUGUGAACCCAUUUGCCAGUUGUGUGUGGGAAUUAUAGGCCUUGCAUCGUGUGCCUCAUUCUUUCAAUACUAUGUUGAUGCUUAAUGCUCAUCCUAAUUUUAGUCUUCUCAAGUGCUUCUCCAUGACUCACACACAUCAUUUUGGUUGAGCAUAUUCUUAAGUUGCCUCUUUUACAUGUUGCUCAACCAUGUGCUUGUUGCAAGCGCUAGGCUUUGUUUCCUAUAUGCUCACUUGCACUGGAUGUGAGUUUCUAUUGAUUUUGGGGGAGCUAUGAUCCUAUUUUGUGCACUUUGUAUUCAAAUACAAAAAUUCUUAUGUGUGCACAAAUCAUGGGGAGCUUCUCUAGUUUCUUUAGAACACUCCUUUGCGCUUUUCAUAAUAUCUUUAUUCUUGUGGCAUGUAGGAUCAUUGGUCUAGUUGGUUCAAUUGAUAUCCGUUGAUUGCUUGCUUCAAUUGGUAUCUUCUGAUUGCUUGUGUCUCUCUUUGUUAUGUCUUUGUGGCAUAUCUUUCUGUUGCAAUCUUUGGGCAUCAAUAUAGUUUGUCUUCCUUCAAGUAUUGGCAGUUGGAUAUGUGUAUUGCAUUCCACUCUCUUGUUGGGAAAUACACAAUUUAUGGAGGACCACAAUUUAUAUUGGCCCUCUAAGCUUUUCGCCCAUUUUGGCAAUCGAUGCCAAUGGGGGAGAAGUUUCAGAGAGUUUUGUGGAGUAGCUUUGGUUUUUGUUUCCUUAGCAUUUGCAUCUCAUUCGCAUGCAUUAUUGGUUGGUGCAUUGCAUGGUGAUGCAUAAUUCCUUGUAUAAACUCUCUUGAAAGUGAUUGUCAUCAAUUACCAAAAUGAGGGAGAUUGAAAGGACAUGCGGUGCCCCCAUGUGUGGUUUUGGUAAUUGAUGACAAUCUCUAUGGACUAAUGGUUGCCUUGAGUUAUAUUUGAAGGGUUUGCCCAUAGGCUUUUCUUGGAGUCCAUUUGUUGGUUUCAAUGAGAGUUUGUGAUGACCAAGGUGCUAUUAAGGAAUUAUCCAAAGAUUGGUCAUAUGAGUGUUGAGCUUAUUGCAAGCAUGUCUUGAAGAAGAAGGUUGUGUGAUCAUUCAUGUUUACCUUCAAGACAUCAUCCAAAUGAAGAGAGUUGCAAAGGUUCAAGGUUGAUCAAGACUAAGUCAAGAGUGAAUCAAGUUGAUCAACUCACAAAGCGUAGAAGAUGUACCGAGAGGGAUCAAGUGAUCCCAUCGUAUGGUAAGCAUUGUCCAUUGCACUUUUUGUACUAACCCAUGGUCUAUGUGAGAGUUGUAUGUGGGGUUAGGUACGUAUCCAUGGGCUUGUGUCAAGAGGAAGAUAUCAUACAACCCAUGGAAAGGAUGACAUCAAGUGGUGAUCGUCAUCAAGAUUGCCGUGUGCAAGUUCAAGUGGAGCAUCACGAAGAGAUCAAGUGCUUGAAUCUUGCCAUCCAUUAUGGUGUCAAUGGACUUGUGAAGAUGUGCCGAAGAGUGGCUCACCCAUAGUGAAUUAUGGGGGAGCAAUCAUCUAGUCUUCAUCGAACCAACGCAAUCAAGAAAGGUGGUCCAACUUGAGGGAGUCAAGAUCGUCUUCAUCUAGCUCAAGUGGACCAUGUGCAAGGCAAAGGUUUGCCCUUUAUAGGUUUUCUAUUUUACCGGUCUCGUGGUGGUAGUUGGGAGACCGAGUUAUAGGAUCGUUUGCCGUACUAUCAAGGGGGGCUCUCAAGUUGGUAGCUUGAUCGUAUCAUUAGUAGAGAGCUCAAACCAUUGCAUCCUUGCAUCAUGUUUCUUUGUUCUUGUUUGGUUCUCUUUGUGAGUCUUAGAGAUUAUGGUCAUCUUGAUGACAAGCUUUAGUUCAUCAAAAACGGAGUUCGCAUACGUCUUCUAUGAUGUUUUCGGUGUUGGAGGUUUUACCAGUCUUAUUCGAUGAAGGGUUCUCACCAUUUUCUUAUGGGACUUUUCUCAUUUGCUUAUUCUUGAUAUUUCUAUCAAUAUUGUGUUAGCCCAUGUCGUUACCUUUCCAACAAACUUUGUUUCGUUGAAUUCGGAGUCCGUUUGCAAAAGUUGUGGCCGUUUUGGUAAAGGCUGCAGCGGUACUACCGCGACUAGAGCGGAUGUAAUUUUUUACUACCGCUCCAGAGCGGUACUACCGCGGCUCCUGAGCGGUAGUACCGCUCCAGAGCAGUACUACCGCGGCUCCUAAGCGGUAGUACCGCUCCGGACCAAAAUCUCGUGUUUUGCUCAGCGGAAGUAGGCACAGAAGUAUUUUUUUAGUACCGCUCGCAAGCAGUAGUACCGCUACAAUUUGCGGUAGUACCGUGAGGUCGAGCGGUAGUACCGUGAGGACGAGCGGUAGUACCGCUCCGGCGGUUCUACUUGCCUUUUGCCUCCUCGCUGUUGUUUUUCAAAGGGGUUCUACCGCCCUAGCGGUAGUACCGCUCCUUGGAGCGGUAGUACCGCUCUGUGCGGGCUGUGAGCAUAACGGUUGGAUUUUUUCCCACCUAUAAAAGGGGGUCUUCUUCCCCAUUGAACCCAAUCCCUUUGAGCUCGUGUUCUUCCCCCAUUGUUGACCUUCUUUGAGCUUGCUAACUCUCAAUCCCUCCAUGGAUUCUUGCUAGUUUUUGAGGAAAAAGAAAGAGGAGAUCUAGAUCCACGUUUUCACCAAUCACUUUCUUCUCUAAGUGAGGGGAAUCCCUUGGAUCUAGAUCUUGGAGUUCUUCGUGUUCUUUUUUCGUUCUUCUUCUCAUUUUCCUCCCUAGCAUUAGUUGCUUUGGUGGGAUUUGGGAGAGAAGGACUUGGGCACUCCGUGUGCCCUUGCCAUUGCAUUUGGUGCAUCGGUUUGAGUUCUCCUCGGUGAUACGUGGAAGUGAAGUUUGAGAAGCUUAUUACUCUUGGGUGUUUGGGCACCCUAGAGGUUGUUCCUCUUGGGUGCCUUGGCGCCCUAGAAGGUUGGUGGUGUUCGGAGCUCAAUCAUUGUGGUGUAAAGCUCCGGGCAAGCGUCGGGUUCUCCUAUUAGGUUGUGGAGAUCGCCCUGAGCAAUUUGACGGGUUCCGGUGACCGCCCCCAAGGGUUGCCAAAGUGUACGGGUUCGGUGACCGCCCCCAAGGGUUGCCAUUUCUACGGGUUCGGUGACCGCCCUCAAGGGUCCCUUAGUGGAAUCACGGCAUCUUGCAUUGUGCGAGGGCGUGAGGAGAUUACGGUGGCCCUAGUGGCUUCUUGGGGAGCAUUGUGCCUCAACACCGCUCCAAACGGAGAUUAGCAUCCACAAGGGUGUGAACUUCGGGAUACAUCAUUGUCUCCGCGUGCCUCGGUUAUCUCUUACCCGAGCCCUUUACUUAUGCACUUUACUUGGUGAUAGCCAUAUUGUUCUUUGUCAUAUAUCUUGCUAUCUCAUAGUUGCUUAUUUUGCUUACCAUAAGUUGUUGGUGCACAUAGGUGAGCCUAGUUGUUUUAGGUUUUGUGCUUGACAAAUUAACCGCUAGGUUUAUUCCGCAUUUGUUCAAGUCUAAACCGUAAUUAUUUUAAAGCACCUAUUCACCCCCCCCCCCUCUAGGCGACAUCCACAAUCUUUCAGCGAGGCCCAUAGCGAAAAAAAAAUCACCAAAUCGCUCCCAGGCCUCCAAUUCCUGGGAGCUUACUGAAUUAUCAUUGUAAUUUGUAAAAAAUAUUUGUCAAAGAGAAGAACAUAACUGAAUCUGAAUGAGAACAAUCACUGACCUGCAGCAGAUGAGCAUGAUUCUUCAUUGCAGAUGAAUAUUCUGAGGCACGAAAAAUCAAAAUUACAUGAUUUUCUCAUGCAUAUGAACAUCAGCAACAACAAUUUUGUCCUCGUUGCAACCUCCUCACUCUCUUUCCACGAUGGGGCAGGAAAGCACAAGAAAGCAGGAGUGCGGGAAGAGCAGGAGGGAGGCAGGAAGAGGACGUGUGGUGAUAGCGAGAAACACAAAAGACACGCGCGCGGGUCGUCACGUCGAUCAUUGGAACAGGCACCGAGAGAGACUCCCAUCCAUUGACCACACAAGCGGCGGUCCCAGAUCGGCGGCGGUCCCAGAUCGGCGGCGGGAUUCACAACGAGGCCUUACACUGACGGGCGGGGCCCAUAGCAAAAAAAAAAUCACCAGAUCGCUCCCAGGCCUCCAAUUCCUGCGAGCUUAGUAACUUUAGAGAUAUCUGAAAGCCGGUUAGCUAACCAACGACGAUGUAUCAGAAAUUCAGAAUAACUGCAGUGUCCUUGUAUGUACGUGCGCGAUUGAUACUACUACUAUAGACUUUGCUAGGCUAGGCAGGGCGCGGAGCCUGAUGGCCAUUGAUUUGCCGGCACGGUGAACGUACCAUAUCAUGGAUUACACGUACAUGUAUGGAUGAAUUGCGUAUGUCUCCGUCACCUUGGCAGUUGGCACCACUGCAGCAGCGCUGUCUUUUUCUGAAGACGGCAGUGAGCGGUUAGCAUUUGCUUGCUUGCUUGCUUGUGCAGUGUACUCGUAAUUAACCAGGGUCCUCAGCAGGCAGGCAGGCGGGAAGAGUCUUGGCCUAAACCAAGUGUGUCGACUGGACAGACACGAAAAGCCCCGAGCCAUUUGAUACCUCGUGAAAACACGUUGCUCUGCUCGAAUCGUUCGUUCACGAGAAGAGGCGACGAAGGAGAAACUAAACCCCUGAAAAGGCUGUUGCGCCGUUGAUCCCGCCUUCGUGGCAACCAUGCAUACACACACGUGGCGCAUACACACACGCACGGAGCCAAAGCGAGCGACNNNNNNNNNNNNNNNNNNNNNNNNNNNNNNNNNNNNNNNNNNNNNNNNNNNNNNNNNNNNNNNNNNNNNNNNNNNNNNNNNNNNNNNNNNNNNNNNNNNNNNNNNNNNNNNNNNNNNNNNNNNNNNNNNNNNNNNNNNNNNNNNNNNNNNNNNNNNNNNNNNNNNNNNNNNNNNNNNNNNNNNNNNNNNNNNNNNNNNNNNNNNNNNNNNNNNNNNNNNNNNNNNNNNNNNNNNNNNNNNNNNNNNNNNNNNNNNNNNNNNNNNNNNNNNNNNNNNNNNNNNNNNNNNNNNNNNNNNNNNNNNNNNNNNNNNNNNNNNNNNNNNNNNNNNNNNNNNNNNNNNNNNNNNNNNNNNNNNNNNNNNNNNNNNNNNNNNNNNNNNNNNNNNNNNNNNNNNNNNNNNNNNNNNNNNNNNNNNNNNNNNNNNCCAAAGUGCGACCCAAAGCCUGUGCCGUGGCCACGAGAGGGAGCAAAAGAAACUCCGGCAGCAAACCUUUUUUUGAUUUUUGUUUACCUGAACGCCGGCAGAAACCUUAGCCUGGAAGCGAACCCGCCCGCGACCGGGCGACGUUUCUUCGUCAGUCGGUACACGGCAACGAACGGAUUUGUCUGUCUGUCUGUCACCCCUACCGGGCCGUCUUGCAUGCCACACCACAUCGUAGGUACCGAGUACGUUACGUACCGUAAAAAAAAACCAGGUGCUAGUAGACAUUAAGAUCUAGACAUAGUGCUUUUUCUGUAUUUUCUGAUCAUAGCAUGAAGAUGUUCAUGGCGCACUGUCGUCUCUUCACUCUUUUCUUUAUAUAUAUAUAAUGCAGGUACCCCGCCGGCCGGCACCGUUUCGGUUUAUUAUCUGUACUGUGCUCCGGCUGCUCUGCAUCCCACGGAAGGGAAAGGGGCAGUACCAUUUUUUAUUUUUAGAAAAAAAUGGAGUAGUACCGUAGCAGUUAUCUUUCUACAGAGCGGAUUAAUUAGAAGACAGUAGUACGCACUGAAUUAAGAGACUGAUUAGAAGACACUAGUACCCUACGUAGCGUGCGUGCAAGCUUCGCAUGCACCGUGGUGCCGUGCGGCCGUGGACACGGCCACGGAGGACACUACAUCGAGGCGCAGGUGUGAAGCACCGUACGUUCCCCCGCAAGAAGAAAAUGCAGACGAAAUUAAAAAUACAAGAGAAAGAAAAGGGAGGAGGAGUUUUUUUUUAGAAAAGGAGGAUGACCCCUGGCCUCUGCAUCUGGGAUAUGCAUACGGCCACUUUAUUGAUUAUUCUCGAGAACCGUACAAAAUGUUACAAUAAUGUGUCUGAAUCUACCAUCUUGGCAACAUAUGCUGCUACUCCUAUCCAAAAUGAUUAGGAGGUGCUAGCUGGGCCAUUACCCAAACCACUCACCUAAACCUAACAUCAAAAACCGGAAGCCGAAACUCAUUCGGAAGCCCCCAAGAUGCCCCAAGCCCCCAAGGCCCCAACCCAAGUUGGCGCGCGCAGAGAUCCUCCCUUCCCUCCAAAAGCAGGACACGCACGGAACACAACGGGCAAAGGCUGCUGGUGCACUAGAGUAGGAAGCAGUAACCCUCAUCAAAAGCAGUACUGGAUGCCACGCCAUGCCCUGUCCUCCUCCUCCUCAUCCUCUUGCAUGCCACACCCAGCACCACAUCCCUAUAGCUAUCUAGCAGCAGCCACCUCUGCCGGCCAAGCCAAGCAUACUGGAUAGACAUUGAUUGGGAUUUAUAGACACCCUUUCCCUCACACAGUGCGCACAUCAUAUCAAGAAUCAAUCCAGAAGAGACCAUCAUCAGAGGAUAAAGGAGUGACCAAGACAGGCGAGGGAGCUAGGAUCAACAAAGUUUCAUUUGCUCGAUCAUCAAGCCAUGGUAUCUCGGGGGAAGCAGCAGGAGGAGGAGGCGGCCGCCGGGUGGGAGGGGGAGAAGGAGGGGGAGAUCGACUACGUGUUCAAGGUGGUGGUGGUGGGCGACUCGGCGGUGGGGAAGACGCAGCUGCUGGGGCGCUUCGCCAAGGACGAGUUCUUCCUCGACUCCAAGUCCACCAUCGGCGUCGAGUUCCAGACCCGCACCCUCACCCUCCACCGCAAGCAAGUCAAGGCCCAGAUCUGGGACACCGCCGGACAGGAGAGGUACGCCGCCCCGCCCCCAUAACCCCGUCCCGUCUUCCUCCUCCAGCCCGGUCGCCUAGCUCUGCUCUUCUGAUAUGAUAUGCAGUCCAUUUUUCGUCUGCUACCGUUUUGAAUUUCUCGAUCGCAAACAUGCAAUCCUCGUUCCCGGGAUACGAAAUUCUGGGCGGCACGCCUAGUUUCAACUCUCAGCACACGUACGUACAGCUGCCCGAUCACCCUCCGCAACAAUCGUUUGCUGGUGCCAGAACAAGCACCGAAUCUCUGCUGCAUACAUACACUUGCUUAAUUUUUAGCACCGCCUUCUUUCCAAAGCUUAGUUACAAAAAUAUUGGGUGGGUCUGUUGUUCUGCCAAGGACAAACGUGUUUUCUGUAUGUGGCCGCGUCCUCGCAUGGUUAGUGGAGUACAUGCCGCCAAGAACGAUCAGUGUUUUGGACCAGUUGCUUGCUUCCGGAUUAGGGGAUCGGUCGAUCGACGCAUGAUACCGGUCGGCCUCACCCCCCAUCACAUGCAUUUAAUCCGGUGAUCACCAAAUAGAUCAGCGCAGCACGCAAGCUAGGCUAGGGGGCGGGCGAUAAGAUGGAAAUGCUGAGUGGUAGGCAGCUUUCGUCUUUCAGGAAGGGAGAAGGCGAAAGCUACGGCUGCAUUCAAAUGCGACGGCCACGUACAUGUCGAUCCUGCUGCUGCUAGUAAGGACGACGAUUCUUCAGACCACCAGAGCACGCCGACCUCUGAAAGCGAUCUCUUCUCAAAGGAAAAGGAAAAGAAAAUCCUACUGCGCCUUUUCCUCCUUUCUAGGAAUAGACCAUCGGCGUAGUGGGGCGAUCAUACAUACGUGCCCAAUUUGCGCCCGGAUUAUGACCUGUUUUCUACACGUAACGCCCGCGGGAGCUUCAGAGUAGUAGAUGCAUGAUUUUUGUAUACAUGGUUUUUUACAUGUCACUGGAGUUCCUUUUGAGACAUGGGUACAUUUUUUGCACCCGCAAAAAAAAAAAACACAUGGGUACAUUUCGUUCUGUUUUCCAAGAUUUAGCUUUUAAAAUCAUAGUUUCUUGAAAUCUUGAAAAUUGUGAAAAUACUUACGGAGGAAGGUCUAUCAGAUAGGAACAUAUAAACUAACGGAAAUAUUAACGCCCACACGUGUGGGCGUUAGCCAACUCACCCACACGCCUCCAUCACCGUCCAGUAACUUCUGCACGAAUCUUGGUACGAAUUAACUGAUUUUGUAUGUCACGUAGGACAACUCGCGUGUGUGGUGUGUGAGAGAGGUCGCCCACACAUCCGUUUUAUCACACGGAGGAGCUGGUGUGUGGGCGUUUAGCAGUUCGCCCACACACCAGUUUCAGUCACGCACAAGGGCUGGUGUGUGGGCAGUUUGCCAUCUCGCCCACACGCCCGCCUCCUCUCCCACACCCAAGUUGCCAGUCGCCAUGCGUUUUGCAGUGUACAUGGCAACUGCCCUAAUGUGAUUGCAAGCAGAUGGCAACUCUUUUUUUUUACCCGAACAUGUCAGUUGCCAUAUGUUUGGCAUGGUACAUGGCAAACUGCCCUAGCAUACACGUAAGCAGAUGGCAACUCUUUCUUUUUUAAAUGGCAACUGCCCUAGCGUGCUUAUGAGCACAUGGCAACUCUCUCUUUUUACCCGAACGUUUUUUGCCAUGCCUUUUUUUGUAGCGCUACAUGGCAACUGCCUAGUGUUAGUAGAUGGCAACUCCUAAAGUUUUGAAAUCAUGGCAACUGCAGUAGACCAGAUCACACAUGGCAACAGCUGUAGUUGUCCAAAAAAUGGCAAUCUGGAACUUUGACCUGAGAUGGCAACUGCAGUUGAGCAAACAUGGCAACUGUAGUUGUCCGACAUGGCAACCAUAGUUCAGCGACAUGACAAUUGCACUUAAACGAACAUGGACGAGGGUCCGGCCCAUGGCAACUGCGGGGCGCGCGGUAAAGUGUCACGUGGGGCGUGCGGGCCUGACGUACCGGGCGUGUGGGCGUUAUCUAUUUCGUCCACACGUACGCGUGUAAGAGGGAUCGAGAGGGGAAAAAAGGCGUGUGGGCGCUAGUUGUUUUGCCCACACACAGACGUGUGGGCUGGUUCUCUUAGGCACCACACAAAAUGUGUGGGCAGAUUUCUUAACGCCCACACGUGUGGCAGUUAGCGGCGUUCUAAACUAAAAUAAUCUAUGGCAAUUUUUGACCUAUGCGUAAAUCAGAAAUGAGUACCAUACUAAAACCUCCUAACCUAGAGUCCAAGCUAGAAAACUUGUGCUGCAAAAAAAAAACCAUUUUAUGAUUUACACACUAGUAGUGAUUUUUCAUCGGAUGUUUUAAGACUUCAUUUAAAAUCUUAUUUGUGCCUAUGACUAGAGUACCAUUUCUCUACAUAUUAUUCUAUCUAGUGUGAAAUGCAUGAUGUUUUUAUAUGGUUAUUUAUCACACUUUGUAUUACUUUUUCUACUAAUAUUUAAGUAAAGUUUUAGAAAUAUCAGACUACAAAACUGUUUAUUAUCUCUGACAAAUACAAUAUUAUUGAUAUCAAACUAAUCUAAGUAUUACUUUGAUUAAUUAAUCAUCAAAGACAGAAUGUGUUUGUCAAUGUGGCAACCACAUGAAGCUUUCAUUAGCUCAAAGGAAAAAACAUCGCAUUCGUGGAAGAAAAGGACAUCAAAAUGACCAGAUUCGCAUAGACCGAACAUCGGCGAAGUCCGCUUUGAACUUGGUUAAAAAUUCUUUUAGAACCACUAGAGCACGCCGACCUCUGAAAGUGAUCUCUCCUAAAAAGAAAAAGAAAAUUUUACUCCCUCCGUCCCAAUAAUAUAAGAGUGCUUUUUACACUCAAAACACUCUUAUAUUAUGGGAUGGAGGAAGUAUUAUACAACUUUUCCUCCUUUCUAGAAAUAGAUCAUACGUGCCCAAAUUUGCAUAGACUAAGCAUCAGCGAAGCCGCUUUGAAGUUAGUUGAGAGUUCAAAAGUGAACAGUCUCGUGCUUAAUUCUAAAAUUCUGUUAGGACCGCUUGUGUGUUCUGGGGUGGAAACUGAACCGGAAGCGAAGUACACGGUUCAAUAGUCAACAGUGGACUUUUCUUCCAAACCAAAAAAAAAAACACGUAGACUUUUCCAAACAAGCUCUGAUAUGCGUGCGGCCAAGGAAUUUUCUUCACAAAUUCGAGCACGUUGACACGUUGAAAUGUGAAAUGUUUGACAGAUUUUCUUACAGAAAACAGAGUGUGUGUCACUGACAAUUGAGCAUGCGCGUGUGUUGGGAGCAGGUACCGGGCGGUGACGAGCGCCUACUACCGGGGCGCGCUGGGCGCCAUGGUGGUGUACGACGUGACCCGCCGCGCCACCUUCGACCACGUGACCCGCUGGGUGGAGGAGCUCCGCGCCCACGCCGACGGCUCCACCGUCGUGGCGCUCGUCGGCAACAAGGCCGACGCGGCCGCGCACCGCCGCGAGGUGCCGGCCGACGAGGCCGCGCGGUUCGCCGAGGAGCAGGGGCUCUUCUUCUCCGAGGCGUCGGCGCUGACGGGCGACAACGUGGAGCGCGCCUUCCUCGCGCUCCUCGAGGAGGUCUUCGCCGUCGUCUCCCGCCGGGCGCUGGAGCUCGACGAGGCGCGGCGGACGCGCAGCAGCGGCGUCAGCGACGGCGGCGAGGUGCUGUCGCUGAGGGGCACCACGGUGGACCUGCACGACCCCAUCAUGGAGACCAGCGCCAUGAAGAAGACCGCCUCCUCGCAGUGCUCGUGCUCGUGACCGGCGACGUGGUCGGCAACCUCAGCCGGUGGUGCUGUGACAGAGACACGCCGCACCGUGAUGUGCAAGGAUUCACACCAGAUUACGCCAUGCAUUCUCGAACACAUAAGUUUAGACAUGUAAAGCAUUUGUUGUACAUACAUUGUGAUAAGAAAUGGUUGGGUUCAUUUGCCUCUUCAUCUGCGAGACUGUGAGAUUGAUCAGAACUUCUUUUCCUCCCAAAGCUCUUUUUUUUAGGGGACCUCCCAAAGCUCAUUGACAUGGCUCGUUAGGGAUGCAUGGGAUUCACAUGAAUUUCGCCAAAAACAGCAGCUCAAUUCAAACAACAGUGAGGCUAAGUUCAAGUGUUUGACAUCCAAGAUAAAUCUAGCGCACCUUCACACCGGCGAAAAGGUAAGAUGGGAAGGAUAUGAGAUUUUCUCAAAACUAGUGCGGACAAUUUUAUCCGUAACGCGCAUCAUUACAACUCAUCACAAACAAACUGCAGUUGUAUGAACAACAACAAUGUCGUAGCAACUAAUAACUGACAGGUCAUUUCCUGCUCAAUCUUCUUCUCCUUCAGAAGGUAGAUCUUCCUUGAACCAUGUGUAGAGCCCUCCGUCCAGAUGGAACACGUUCUUGUAGCCGUUUAGGACCAGCAGAUACGCCGCUAUCAGAGACCUGCCAGAGUCGAAGCAUAAUCGGCUGAGUUAAACAUCGGUGCUCACAAGUUUACCUAUGAGUGUCCACGCAGAGCAAUGCAUAUAUACUUCUAAAGAAAAAUGCCGUUUUGUUCUUGAAGUUGCAAUUCAAGAACUAGAAAAUGAUCUCAGCGUGGCUUUUCAAACUACAGGAAUGAAAAAGCUGAAUGACAAUUCUCCAGCUGCCAUCAUGAAUUUGCAUCAAUUAUUAUAAAUUUGAAGUUCAUAGCAUUGCAGUUGCAACAAAUUAAUGCUGCUGGUUCUCAAAUGUGAUUUACCAACCUGGGAACUAAAACCACGACACUUAUUUUGGAACGGAUGGAGCAAUAUCUAAAUCUCAGUGGUAAAACACAUAAACGUGGACCGAAAGUGGGCUGCAAUUUAAUUGCACCAGCCGGGUCUUGAGCUCAAGACCUCUUGGCUCAAGAUACCAUGUAGAUGUGCAUGCUCUAGCCAAUGAACCCAAAAGACCGAUCUGAUGGAAGAGACUAGGCAAUACAUUUAUACGUCAACACACGUCAAAAAAUGAGAGCAAUCCAGUAAUGGGAGAACAAGCAUAAACUAUCUACCGGGAUUAACAACCACUUAACAAGUACUAGCCCCCCUCAACUUUGAUGCAUAUGGAUGUGCAGUACGGCAUGGAUCGAAAACUGUGUCUGGUCUUAGCCUGACUGACUACGCUUGACGUAAGCAAAUGCACGAUACUGAAUUUAGUGCAUUUUACACAAAACACUUUGCAGAUUUUUUUAAGAAAGAAUGCUGUUAGCAUCCGUUCCUGGAUAUUUUUUUUCCAAAAAAGACCGGUAGGGGCAGAGCUAUAUUUUUUUUUUGAAAAGGAGGUUCAACCCCCGGGCUCUGCAUCAUAUGAUGUACACAACCAUCUUCAUAAAAAAUAGUUCUCGUUGACAAUCGCAACAGUACACAGAGGAUAAACAAGGCGAAAACACAACUGCCUGAUAACAGGAUUACAUGACUCACACACAUAACCUAUCAUUGGAUCGCCGUCCUAACCGAUUGAACGUAUCUUGUGCGACGGUCUCCCAAGGGAGACGGAGACCGUAGCAGAGAGCAGGGGAAGAGCCUGGUGGCAUUAAUUAAGAAGAGGCUGCGAGAGACUGAAUUCUACCACUGAGAUUUGAACAUGUGUCAGCUUGAAGAUGACACUGCCCUCCCAGGCUCCCACUACUUGGCCAAGAACACAUCCACAAAUAGCAUGGUUUUUAAUACUUGGUUAAUUUUAUUGGUCGAGUAACUGGACCAAUUUACAAAUAUCUGCUUAAUAUAUCACAGAAUCAUCCAUGCUUGUUCACAGGAUAAUAUAUUAGUAAUAGUAUUGAAAAUUCAGUCAUGACCAAUCAACCACCAGUGUUGACAGGAAAAUAGCUAAACAAAACCCAUGGUAGAAAUAAAGAGAAUGUUCAAAUUGCGAAACAAAUUUCCACUAACAGAAAACCCCGACAACAGAGAAUAUCUUUUAAUGCGAAGAUUGGUUAAACCUAGUAACAAAAUAUGCACAGAUCUCAUUUCACGGAAGAUGCAAGAAAUUUAGCUUAAGCCAAAUCACAUUAAUAAACAGUAUCAGCAGUUCAGCACCUUCAUGACAACUGGAAAAGGACCGACAAUCCAUGGAAAUUAAACAAGUUUAGCAGUAAAUAAUACUACUCCCUCUGUUCCAUAUUACUUGUCGUGGUUUUAGAUCUAAAACCACGACGAGUAAUAUGGAACGGAGGGAGUAUAUGGGCAACAUAAUAUACCUAGAUUGCUUCCCAUCAGGUAGAUUCUGUGUUGGCUUCAUUGUUCCUCCUGCUGAACAUGCUACAAUUAUCUUUGAAUCUUUAUUAAGUUUUUCUUCAACGCCUGCACAAAUAUGGCAUAUGCAUCUGAUUGCCGGUACAUGUAUAAAUGGUGAGGACACAGCAAACAGAAGUACAAAAAAUGCUACGUACUUUUUAUAAACUCAGGAUUCUCUUCUGUUCCUGCAAAUAUGCCAAAGAAAGCAAAUGCUGCCCUCCUUGCAAUAUCCCAUGCUGUCCACUCCUUUAUUAAUCUGUAUAUUUGUACAUUAACAGCACCAGGUGGGUGAGCCUGCACAAAAAUAAAUCCAUAACUGUGGUGCAACUUUCCCAGAUUGAAAUAUAAAUUUCAUUGUAUGAAGCGGCACAAUAUGAAAACAAACUUUUGACAUUUUUUUAGGCAUCAUUGGAGACGAUUUGAUCACUGUUAGCCGUUUAGGUACUACUACUACUAAGCAGACUUCUAAAUUUAUGUUUGGCUAUUGCAACAGCAACAUAUAUUAUAUCUCCAGUUAUAUACUCCCUCCAUUCCUAAAUAUAAGUCUUUGUAGAGAUUCCAAUAUGGACUACAUACGGAGCAAAAUGAGUGAAUCUACACUCUAAAAUAUGUCUAUAUACAUCCGUAUGUAGUUUGUAGUGCAAUCUCUAAAAAGACUUAUAUUUAGGAACGAAAGGGAGUAAUUGUGAACUGUAUUCAGCAUAGUGUUGUCGAUUCAAUACAUCAUCAUUGAUACACAAUUUGCUUCAGCUAUCAUUUCGGGUUGAUAAAAGACACAAAAAAGAUAAGUAAGCAACAAUGUAAAAGUAAGUUUCUGCCCUAAACCCAAGAGCUUGAGACAGCAACUAUAAGAUACCUGUUUGAACUCUGCUUCUGGUCUGACAUCGAGAAUUACAAAGUUGUUUUCGUUUUGAAGGCGCAGUGCUUCCUUCACAUCAACACUACGUACCUGCAAAAACAAACAGGAGAAACACCUCUGAUGUAAAUGGCGGCUGCUAAGCAUAGAAUGCUCAUCUUCAAUCAACAGUAAAUCAAGCCAAUACACAUAUGAAUCAACAGGAAUAGGUAGAUAAGUCCUCAUAAAUGUCAAAACAGUGCCUAUUUCACAUAUAAUCUAUAAUUGUUCUACACAUACAUAUGUUACUCUAACUCUCUUCAUAAGACUUAAGGUUAAGAAGUCCGCAGCAACCUUCAUAUACGUUUAAUGCAAAAAUAUUGGUCAGAAUGAUGGUUAUUACCCGCUUCUCUAAUAGGAAUUGCCGUUUGAUCUUCCAUUCCUCUUCAGCUGCAAAAUAAGGGGGGUAAACAUGCCAAGAUAGCAUCAUGCAUAACAGAAUAAGAAACGGUUCCAUAUCAAGUCAAAGGAGGCAAGCAUAUUCACAGUACCUGGAGAUUUCGCAGUCUUAGUGGCAGCACAUGUUACCCGCAGCGAGCGCACACCAUGCGCUCGGUAAUGUUUUGCAGCUUCUAAUGGGCGCCACAAAUGACCAGAUGAGAAGUCUGAGCAGGAGGAUAUCCUUGACGAGCAAGGAAGGUUGGCUUUCACUAUGGAGCUAGCUGCGAUCAUCGUGGUCAUGAGAUAAAGAGCAGCAAAAACUUGGGGAAGAAUCGGAAGGGAGCUUAGCUAAUCCUAAGGCUGCAACUGUUGCUGGAAGGAGAUAUUUUGGGAUGUGCAAGUGUCCAAAGGACCUAAAUGGUUCUGGAUGGGAUGUCCCAGCAUAUCUGAACUAGUGGUUGAGGUUGAGCAAGUGUUGAGAUGGACAAUCUGGAGUCUGGCUAUGGGCUUGCCCUGACCCCACAAAACAAAUUCACCAUCAAUCUUUUAUUGGAAAAACUUACCACUGCUUUUCUCUUGUCAUGAAGUAAUUUCUGGUGUUUGGCUCAUACAAAUUUCUAGCUUUCCACAAAUAAAAUGGAACAGAAGGACACAGCAGCAUUUCACUACAAUCCAACUCUUUAUUAGGUACUCACCAAUUACCACCUACAAAUGGGAACAGUAAGGUGCCCAAACAGAUUUGCUCCCUAAAACCCAAAUCAUCGACUAAACAAGAGUACACCAAAGUCCAGAAAAUGGAUACCCUAAAAGUUUCAGUUCAGAACACAAACAAACGAAAUCAUCACCAGUUCCCCAGUGAGCUAAGCUCAGUGCUCA
rnacentral:lncRNA from 1 species